UACGAAGGGGGCUAGCGUUGCUCGGAAUGACUGGGCGUAAAGGGCGCGUAGGCGGAUGGCACAGUCAGAUGUGAAAUUCCCGGGCUUAACCUGGGGGCUGCAUUUGAUACGUGUGAUCUAGAGUGAGGAAGAGGGUCGUGGAAUUCCCAGUGUAGAGGUGAAAAUUCGUAGAUAUUGGGAAGAACACCGGUGGCGAAGGCGGCGACCUGGUCCUGACUGACGCUGAGGCGCGAAGCGUGGGA
rnacentral:rRNA from 1 species